CUGGAGGAUGACAGAAUUAGAUCUAAACAAACUGUCAAUUUUCCAUACCAAAAGCUUAAGAAGAAUCCUACGUAUUUUCUGGCCAAAUAAAAUAUCUAAUGAAGACCUUUUGAGACAGUGUCAUCAAGAUAGCAUGGGUACAAUAUUAAUGAGAAGGCGUUGGAAAUGGAUUGGGCAUGUCAUCAGAAGAGAUAGAAAUUCCAUCACUAGAACAGCUCUACAUUGGACUCCAGAAGGAAGGCGUAAGCGAGGAAGACCAAAGAACACAUGGAGACGUACUGUAGAAGGAGAACUGAAGACCAUGAAUAAUACAUGGGGAACAGUAGAAAAGAUGGCCAAAGACAGACAGAAAUGGAGAACCUUUGUUGCUGCCCUACAUGCCGAUGGCAUACCGGGCAGUAAGUAAGUAA
rnacentral:lncRNA from 1 species